rnacentral:ncRNA from 1 species
CCGAUUUUGCUGGUCUUUUCUUUUGGACCCGAGGUAAUGGUCAAUAGAGACGGACGGGGGCAUUCGUACUGCGGCGACAGAGGUGAAAUUCUUGGACCGCCGCAAGACGAACAACAGCGAAGGCAUUUGCCAAGAAUGUUUUCCUUGAUCAAGAACGAAAGUUAGAGGUUCGAAGGCGAUCAGAUACCGCCCUAGUUCUAACCAUAAACGAUGCCAACCAGCAAUCCGUCGGAGUUACUCCAAUGACUCGACGGGCAGCUUCCGGGAAACCAAAGUCUUUGGGUUCCGGGGGAAGUAUGGUUGCAAAGCUGAAACUUAAAGGAAUUGACGGAAGGGCACCACCAGGAGUGGAGCCUGCGGCUUAAUUUGACUCAACACGGGAAACCUCACCAGGCCCGGACACUGGAAGGAUUGACAGAUUGAGAGCUCUUUCUUGAUUCGGUGGGUGGUGGUGCAUGGCCGUUCUUAGUUGGUGGAGCGAUUUGUCUGGUUAAUUCCGAUAACGAACGAGACUCUAGCCUGCUAAAUAGGUGACGGGUUUUAUCAAUUGAAACCGAAGGGAGUACGGAGGCGUCGGGAUCAGGUGGCGGCGGUUCGGGUGGAAGGGGCCGGGUUCUUUAGCGGGCUCUUUUCGCGGCGUGGAUUCGGUUGGAAGCAAAAAGGAUGGGGGAGUUGGUGUUCGGGGUUUCGGCUCCGGGCGUUGGCUUUUCUUUUCUUGCGUUUCCUGCCGGGCUGCGUCGCGAGGCGGGGGCUCGGUCCUUUGUUUCUCGGUCGUCGUCAUCCCCGGCGAUACCUUCUGCUCUCGCGUCCGUCACGCAGUCUUCUUAGAGGGACAAGCGGCGUCCAGCCGCGUGACAGUGAGCAAUAACAGGUCUGUGAUGCCCUUAGAUGUCCUGGGCCGCACGCGCGCUACACUGAAGGAAUCAGCGUGUUUCACUCUCCCUGUCCGAAAGGACCGGGUAA